GACGAACGCUGGCGGCGUGCCUAAUACAUGCAAGUAGAACGCUGAAGGAGGAGCUUGCUUCUCUGGAUGAGUUGCGAACGGGUGAGUAACGCGUAGGUAACCUGCCUUGUAGCGGGGGAUAACUAUUGGAAACGAUAGCUAAUACCGCAUAAGAGUAGAUGUUGCAUGACAUUUGCUUAAAAGGUGCAAUUGCAUCACUACCAGAUGGACCUGCGUUGUAUUAGCAAGUUGGUGGGGUAACGGCUCACCAAGGCGGAGAUACAUAGCCGACCUGAGAGGGUGGUCAGCCACACUGGGACUGAGACACGGCCCAGGCUCCUACAGGGGGCAGCAGGAGGGAAACUUCGGCAAUGGACGGAAGUCUGGCCGAACAACGCCGCGGGAGUGGAGAAGGUUUUCGGGACGUAAAGCUCUGUUGUAAGGGAAGAACGAGUGUGAGAGUGGAAAGUUCACGCUGUGACGGUAUCUUACCAGAAAGCGACGGCUAACUACGUG
rnacentral:rRNA from 1 species